UGGUGCCAAGUCGCCGCUUGGUACCGCCGGCUCCCUAUCGGAGAGAGAGCAAAUCAAGUUGGUUGAAUCGCGUUAAGAGUUGGGCGUACCCGAUGCUUAACAAUUUUGAAUUUCAAAUAGAUGCAUAAAUAUUCCUGCACUAUUGCGCAGUAGACAUUUAUAAUGGCCGCUUUCUGCGAAAACCAAAUCGAAUUAGCAUCAGUGACAGAUCCGAGAAUUCACGUGCACGCUAAUUAAAACGAUUUUGGUGUAAUUACAAUUAUGUGAAAUAUUCUUAGGUUUCAACAGCGGCCAAUCAGAGCUUUAAGCUAAGCUCAGCUCGAUUUAAUUUAUUUGUAAUUUGUUUAAGCUCUAAAAACUUUAUUGCGACAGGUCAAAACUUAUAGGAACUGCUCUAAGUGCUCUACGACUUUGAACUUGAUCUCUAAUAUUGUUAAAUAAUCAUGUAGAUGAGCGCAGAAACCAGAAAAGUGAGUUUUUGAAAAUGGCAAUUCCCAAAUACGUUUAGUUCGCACAGGUUAAAUAAUUAAGAUAAUGCGCACAUUUGCUGAGACAAUAAAAUUCCCAGAAAUUUCAUUAAUUUCUCGACCAAAA